AGCUCUGCACAGUGUCAGUAUCGCAGCCAAUGAGGUCUAUCCUAGGUGUGAUUAUUGCUAACUGAAAACUUCAAUAAUGAUCCAUAAAUUAGGAUACCAUUUAGUUAUG
rnacentral:snRNA from 1 species